rnacentral:rRNA from 1 species
GACGAACCGUACAAACGUUAUUCGGAAUCACUGGGCUUAAAGGGUGCGUAGGCGGGUCUUUAAGUCAGGGGUGAAAUCCUGGAGCUCAACUCCAGAACUGCCUUUGAUACUGAGGAUCUUGAGUUCGGGAGAGGUGAGUGGAACUGCGAGUGUAGAGGUGAAAUUCGUAGAUAUUCGCAAGAACACCAGUGGCGAAGGCGGCUCACUGGCCCGAUACUGACGCUGAGGCACGAAAGCGUGGGGAGCAAACAGG